GAGGAAUGAGGAUGUAAUUC
rnacentral:snRNA from 1 species